CAGGCCUAACACAUGCAAGUCGAACGGUGAUGCGGAGCUUGCUCCGCGGAUCAGUGGCGAACGGGUGAGUAACACGUGAGUAACCUGCUUUUGACUCUGGGAUAAGCGUUGGAAACGACGUCUAAUACCGGAUAGGACUUCCACAGGCAUCUGUGGGGGUGGAAAGAUUUUUCGGUCAUGGAUGGACUCGCGGCCUAUCAGCUUGUUGGUGGGGUGAUGGCCUACCAAGGCGACGACGGGUAGCCGGCCUGAGAGGGUGACCGGCCACACUGGGACUGAGACACGGCCCAGACUCCUACGGGAGGCAGCAGUGGGGAAUAUUGCACAAUGGGCGAAAGCCUGAUGCAGCAACGCCGCGUGAGGGAUGACGGCCUUCGGGUUGUAAACCUCUUUUAGCAGGGAAGAAGCGAAAGUGACGGUGACCUGCAGAAAAAGCACCGGCUAACUACGUGCCAGCAGCCGCGGUAAU
rnacentral:rRNA from 1 species